GAUAUUGUCAGGAUUAUAGGGAAAUAGAUUGUGUAAGUCGGUUUUUAAUAAUCGAUUGAAUAAUUGUUGGUUGAUCAGGUUAAUUAGGUUUUUUCUUUCACAGGUUUUAUUUAUUCGUUGUAAGGCCAUUUCUUUCUUUUUUUUUAAUUUUAUUUUAUUUCGUUCUGGAAAGGAUCAUCUUUCUCAGUAUGUACGUAUUUUUCUUAGGACACGAACCAGCGUGUUCGAUGGCGAAUACCUUCUACUUGUGCAUUCUUGAGAUUCCGGUGAAAGAAACAGGGUCAGCACGCUCAUCGAUUCUACCACGCGCGAUUUUUCUUCGAUGAAGUUCUACCCUGUUCCGCGUUAAAGUGGAACGUGGCGGGAAGAAAGAGGAAGUUUCUUGGAGAAUCUUGGGUAGAGGAGGGUAGAUGGAAUCUUCUUUUGUGGAUAAGUUGCUUUCAAUGUGACGUGGUUCAAUUGGAACAAUUUAUAGCAUCGUAAUAACGAAAAAUACGUAUACAAUCGAUGUGUUAAGCUUCUUGGAAUGUUUGUAAGAAAGAUUAGAAGAUGUAUGAAGAUAUAAGAAGAAUCUUGGAGGAAAGUUUGAGAAAAAUGCAAAUAAGUUUCAAGGCUUCAAAAGAAUUUUUUAACGAAAGUUAAUAGAACGGAGAAGCUAAUAAUAGAGUAGAAGACAGUUUCAAAUUAACCGUUUAAAGUAGCUUUUCCUAGAAAAUUGUAUGCACUUUUUGCAUUAUUCAUUUACCACCUACUUGCUAUAACUCUUUUCAAGGAACACGUACCUAUCUAUUAAUGUAUUAUUGUUUUACAUUGUUUCACAUCGAACGCUCGUUUAAUUAAAUUCCCGACCCGAGGCGAGUAAAAGUUAGAGAUCUACGAUUAAAAAUUCGAAACGAAUGAUAAUAAACAAAGAUCAUUUCCUACAAUUUUUUUUUUCUAAAAGAAAUUUUUCUAAAAGAACUUAAAUACACACUAACAACGAUAUAUUUAAAUUUACUCGACUUAAUUAUUAUUUUUCAAAAAAAAAUCGAUCCCCAAAACUGAAACCGCGUGCAACGAUUCGAAAUUUAAAAUUUAAAAUUUCUUCCAUCCCGGAAAAUUUGCGGAAAUAUCGGUGUGAAAAAUCGGUUUCACCGGCGGCCGCCGCCAUAACACUCGAGGUGUACACUCCAACUCUCCAUUUCUCGUGUAAUGUAAUAAUGGGGCCAGCAAUGACCUACCCCAACAGAGCUGAGUCGAGCAGGAGGGUAGAUACGAAGGGGAGAAGCGUAGACAGUUGCGGGGGCAGGAGGGGGACGAGGAGGGGGAGACCCCAUCCACGGGCCGACGAGUCGAGGGUCGUAAAACCCCCUACACAUCAUCCGACUCGUCCUACCGCCCUACCAGACGACCCUAACCUGCCUCACGUCCGACUGGCAUGGAGCGGGUUGGAGAGCCGGGACCACGUGGAGGGCGAGGCUGAGGAUCGAGGGGGGUCGACGGCAACAAAACGUCAUCCCCUCGUGUCACAGAGACACACUUUUACCACUCGCCCGGCCCCUCCGAUUCCCGUAACCCUCCUUCCGCUUGGUAAUCCUCGCCAUCGGGAGCCACGCGCCGUUAGGGCGUGUGAACAGGUUUCGAGAGUUCGAAACACUCCACGCUUGUUUUCCACGCUUAGGCUCCUCUGCCUCUACGGAGUCGAGAGUGGAAAAAUUGGGAUAUGGUGGACGAUAAUUCGAGCAAUGUUUUCCGUUUCGAGGAGAAUAUUUUCCAGAGUUUCAAACGUAUAUACAUUUUAAUUGUAAUCGAGGGAAGAUCGAAAUUAUGAAAAUUUCGUGCAUUUCUCUUCUAAACACAUUGUUGCAUUUUUCGAGUUGUUGACGAGACGUGGAAAUUUUUCGAAAUUUUCCAAAUAAUCCUCUCGAAAAGAAACUUUUUCUCGAUUCCUGUCCCCGAAACGAGCGUUAAUACGUGAUUUCAGAGGCAACUGGCGAUGCUAUCCAAUCGCUCUUCAAAAAUUUUCGAAAUUUCGAAAUGCAACUUUUCACGCGAAAAAUCACUCGGUGAAGGAAACUCUCCCUCGAACGCGCCUUUAACACCCUUUUAGCGAUUGCUGGGUAAGAGGUAACUCCUCUCCGCCCUCCUUCCAUCCUUCCUUCCACUCCUCCCCCUCUUUUUUUCUCCCUUUUCCGCGCCUCGUACCCAGUCGUGUUAUUCGUUCGAAUCGCUGGUUGCUCGUUGUUCGUUAGUCGGUUAGUUAGUUACACACGGGGGACGGGGAUUGGUGUGUGCGUGCACCUUUUUCGCCAAGGUGGCCGGCGCGCGCGUCUGUCGCCAUUAAUGGAAACGGCACGGCAAAAGGGAACGCGAACGCUCUCCGUCGUCACCGACACGCGAUGACCUUUUCGCCUCUCGCUCUAGCUCGCCUCGAUUCGCGGAAAUCGGCAUUGGAUGGAUUCGUCGCGCCGAAAUGGUAAUCGCUUCGUUACGUCGUCUGCUCCUUUCCUCGUCAAACCCGGCGAUUUCGAUCGAUCGUGCGUGCGUGUGCGCGCGUGUAUCCGUGUGUGUGUGUGUGCUUAAGUAAG